rnacentral:rRNA from 1 species
AACGAACGCUGGCGGCAUGCCUAACACAUGCAAGUCGAACGAGAUCCUUCGGGGUCUAGUGGCGCACGGGUGCGGAACGCGUGGGAAUCUGCCCGUAGGUUCGGAAUAACAGUUAGAAAUGACUGCUAAUACCGGAGGAUGACGUUAAGUCCAAAGAUUUAUCGCCUGAGGAUGAGCCCGCGUAGGAUUAGCUAGUUGGUGUGGUAAAGGCGCACCAAGGCGACGAUCCUUAGCUGGUCUGAGAGGAUGAUCAGCCACACUGGGACUGAGACACGGCCCAGACUCCUACGGGAGGCAGCAGUGGGGAAUAUUGGACAAUGGGCGCAAGCCUGAUCCAGCAAUGCCGCGUGAGUGAUGAAGGCAUUAGGGUUGUAAAGCUCUUUUACCCGAGAUGAUAAUGACAGUAUCGGGAGAAUAAGCCCCGGCUAACUCCGUG